AUGGGCGAAAGCCUGAUGCAGCGACGCCGCGUGAGUGAGGAAGUAUUUCGGUAUGUAAAGCUCUAUCAGCAGGGAAGAAAGAAAUGACGGUACCUGAGUAAGAAGCUCCGGCUAAAUACGUGCCAGCAGCCGCGGUAAUACGUAUGGAGCAAGCGUUAUCCGGAUUUACUGGGUGUAAAGGGAGCGUAGGCGGCAGAGCAAGUCUGAUGUGAAAGCCCGGGGCUCAACCCCGGUGGUGCAUUGGAAACUGUUCAGCUCGAGUGUCGGAGGGGUAAGCGGAAUUCCUGGUGUAGCGGUGAAAUGCGUAGAUAUCAGGAAGAACACCGGAGGCGAAGGCGGCUUACUGGACGAUUACUGACGCUGAGGCUCGAAAGCGUGGGGAGCGAACAGGAUUAGAUACCCUGGUAGUCCACGCUGUAAACGAUGAAUACUAGGUGUCGGUACCCGAAGGGUAUCGGUGCCGUCGCAAACGCAUUAAGUAUUCCACCUGGGGAGUACGUUCGC
rnacentral:rRNA from 1 species